UACGGAGGGUGCAAGCGUUAUCCGGAUUUACUGGGUUUAAAGGGUCCGUAGGUGGUUUGAUAAGUCAGUGGUGAAAUUACCGAGCUUAACUUGGGAGCUGCCAUUGAUACUGUUAGACUUGAGUGCAGAUGAGGUUGGCGGAAUGGGGCAUGUAGCGGUGAAAUGCUUAGAUAUGCCUCGGAACACCGAAUGCGAAGGCAGCUGGCUAAACUGCAACUGACACUAAUGGACGAAAGCGUGGGUAGCGAACAGGAUUAGAUACCCUGGUAGUCCACGCCCUAAACGAUGCUUACUAGAUUUUUGGGAUGAUAAAGGUUCAAGAGUCGUAGGGAAACCGUUAAGUAAGCCACCUGGGGAGUACGAUCGCAAGAUUGAA
rnacentral:rRNA from 1 species